UACGAAGGGGGCGAGCGUUGUUCGGAUUUACUGGGCGUAAAGGGCGCGCAGGCGGCUCAUUUUGUCAGGCGUGAAAGCCCCGGGCUUAACCUGGGAACUGCGUUUGAUACGGAUGGGCUAGAGUUCGGGAGAGGAGAGUGGAAUUCCCAGUGUAGAGGUGAAAUUCGUAGAUAUUGGGAAGAACACCGGUGGCGAAGGCGGCUCUCUGGGCCUGUACUGACGCUGAGGAGCGAAAGCGUGGGGAGCGAACAGG
rnacentral:rRNA from 1 species